AUUGAACGCUGGCGGCAGGCCUAACACAUGCAAGUCGAACGAGUGGCGGACGGGUGAGUAAUGUCUGGGAAACUGCCCGAUGGAGGGGGAUAAAUACUGGAAACGGUAGCUAAUACCGCAUACCAUCGGAUGUGCCCAUAUGGGAGUAGGUAGUAGGCGGGGUAACGGCUCACCUAGGCGACUAUCCCUAGCUGGUCUGAGAGGAUGACCAGCCACACUGGAACUGAGACACGGUCCAGACUCCUACGGGAGGCAGCAGUGGGUAAUAUUGCACAAUGGGCGCAAGCCUGAUGCAGCCAUGCCGCGUGUAUGAAGAAGGCCUUCGGGUUGUAAAGUACUUUCAUCGAGGAGGCGUUACUCGCAGAAGAAGCACCGGCUAACUCCGUGCCAGCAGCCGCGGUAAUUC
rnacentral:rRNA from 1 species